UCAAAAAUAUAAAUACAAUUUAUAUAGCAAUUGGAUUAAAAAAAAUAAGUUUCUCUUUAGCAACUUUAGUCCGGAUACAUUGUUCAAUGUUUAAAAAUGAUGUUAUAACACGACACACAACGAUUAUUUUCCUUAUUCGAAUAAUUUGUUUACCAUUUUUGUGUAAAAAGAAGUUUCUUUUACUGAGAAGAGAAGGUUCACAUAAAAACAGUUUUUUAUAAUAAAAACUUUUAUCGGUGAGCUCAACAAUCUUCGAAAGAAAAUAAGAUGAUGUUAAUUUAUGUUUGUGGUUAAAACACAAUUUUUGUUCACAAUAGAUGAUUAGUCGGGCUGUGCAUUAAUUUAAUACAUUAUGAAUAAAAUACACGACACACAAAAUAAAGGACAUACGAAACUUUACAAAAGAAGACGUGAUAACAAGAAUUAAAGAAGUGUAGCUGAGGAAUUUCCGGUGAAAGUCUGUUAAAUAAGUUGCAAUCUUUAUCCUACCCGUAUUACUCCGAAUUACAAUGGAAAAAUAUUCUCAUAGAAAUUGUUUUUUUUGGAAGAGAUUUUAUUUGUUUGAAAUUCAAAAAGAAUUAAAUUGCAAACGUACAAUAAAUUUUAG